GGUCGCAUAGCUCAGUUGGUUAGAGCGCUUGCCUCACAUGCAAGAGGUCCCGUGUUCGAAUCACGGUGCGACCA
rnacentral:tRNA from 1 species